rnacentral:rRNA from 1 species
CCUACGGGUGGCAGCAGUGAGGAAUAUUGGUCAAUGGCCGUAAGGCUGAACCAGCCAAGCCGCGUGAAGGAAGAAGGAUCUAUGGUUUGUAAACUUCUUUUAUAGGGGGAUAAAGGUAUCCACGUGUGGAUAUUUGCAUGUACCCUAUGAAUAAGCAUCGGCUAACUCCGUGCCAGCAGCCGCGGUAAUACGGAGGAUGCGAGCGUUAUCCGGAUUUAUUGGGUUUAAAGGGUGCGUAGGUUGAUUGAUAAGUCAGCGGUGAAAGUUUGUGGCUUAACCCGGGAAUUGCCGUUGAUACUGGUGAGCGAGAGAGUAGAUGCGGUAGGCCGAAUGUAUGGGGCAGCUGGGAAAUGA